AACGCACCUUGCGCUCCUUGGUAUUCCGAGGAGCAUGCCUGUUUGAGUGUCAUUAAUAUAUCAACCUUCUCUUUUUGAGUGGUUUGGAUGUGGGGGUUUGCUGGCCUCUUAAAAGGUCUUGGCUCUCCUGAAAUACAUUAGCAGAACAACCCUGUUCAUUGGUGUGAUAACUAUCUACGCUAUUGAAUGUGAAGGGCAGUUUGGCUUUCUAACAGUCCUUGGACAAGCUCAUCAUUAAUGUGACCUCAAAUCAGGUAGGACUACCCGCUGAACUUAA
rnacentral:misc_RNA from 3 species